GAACCUUACCAGGUCUUGACAUCUUUUGAUCACCUGAGAGAUCAGGCUUCCCCUUCGGGGGCAAAAUGACAGGUGGUGCAUGGUUGUCGUCAGCUCGUGUCGUGAGAUGUUGGGUUAAGUCCCGCAACGAGCGCAACCCUUAUGACUAGUUGCCAGCAUUUAGUUGGGCACUCUAGUAAGACUGCCGGUGACAAACCGGAGGAAGGUGGGGAUGACGUCAAAUCAUCAUGCCCCUUAUGCCCUGGGCGACACACGUGCUACAAUGGGCGGGACAAAGGGUCGUGAUCUCGCGAGGGUGAGCUAACUCCAAAAACCCGUCCUCAGUUCGGAUUGCAGGCUGCAACUCGCCUGCAUGAAGCAGGAAUCGCUAGUAAUCGCCGGUCAGCCAUACGGCGGUGAAUCCGUUCCCGGGUCUUGUACACACCGCCU
rnacentral:rRNA from 1 species